rnacentral:rRNA from 2 species
GAUGAACGCUGGCGGCGUGCCUAAUACAUGCAAGUCGAGCGGAAAGGCCUCUUCGGAGGUACUCGAGCGGCGGACGGCUGAGUAACGCGUAGGAACGUACCCCAAAGUGAGGGAUAACUGCUCGAAAGAGUAGCUAAUACCGCAUGUGGUCUAAGGAUUAAAGCUUCGGCGCUUUGGGAACGGCCUGCGUAAGAUUAGCUUGUUGGUGAGGUAACGGCUCACCAAGGCGACGAUCUUUAGCUGGUCUGAGAGGAUGAUCAGCCAGACUGGGACUGAGAACGGCCCAGACUCCUACGGGAGGCAGCAGUAGGGAAUUUUCCACAAUGGGCGAAAGCCUGAUGGAGCAACGCCGCGUGCAGGAUGAAUGCCUUCGGGUUGUAAACUGCUUUUAUAUGUGACGAUUAUGACGGUAGCAUAUGAAUAAGGAUCGGCUAAUUCCGUG